rnacentral:rRNA from 1 species
AUUGAACGCUGGCGGUAUGCUUAACACAUGCAAGUCGAACGAUGAGAAAGAGCUUGCUCUUUCGAUUAGUGGCGGACGGGUGCGUAACGCGUAGGAAUCUACCUAUUAGUGGGGGACAACUUAGGGAAACUUAAGCUAAUACCGCAUACGCCCUACGGGGGAAAGAAGGGGAUCGCAAGACCUUUUGCUAAUAGCUGAGCCUGCGUAGGAUUAGCUAGUUGGUGUGGUAAAAGCUCACCAAGGCGACGAUCCUUAACUGGUUUGAGAGAAUGAUCAGUCACACUGGAACUGGGACACGGUCCAGACUCCUACGGGAGGCAGCAGUGGGGAAUAUUGGACAAUGGGCGAAAGCCUGAUCCAGCAAUACCGCGUGUGUGAAGAAGGCCUUAGGGUUGUAAAGCACUUUCAAUUGGAAGGAAAACCUCGAAGCUAAUACCUUCGAGUUUGACAUUACCUUUAGAAGAAGCACCGGCUAACUCCGUGCCAGCAGCCGCGGUAA